CUGGUUUACUUACUACAAGUCCCAGGGUGCACUGCAGCUUUACUUAGCUUCAUAUUAGAGCAUUGCAUGCUGGGGCAUGUAGUUGGUUUAACUAGCA
ensembl:miRNA